UGUCUUCGGAUGUAGAGACCGGCGCACGGGUGCGUAACGCGUAUGCAAUCUACCUUUUACAGAGGGAUAGCCCAGAGAAAUUUGGAUUAAUACCUCAUAGUAUAGCUCUACCGCAUGGUAGUACUAUUAAAGUCACAACGGUAAAAGAUGAGCAUGCGUCCCAUUAGCUAGUUGGUAAGGUAACGGCUUACCAAGGCAACGAUGGGUAGGGGUCCUGAGAGGGAGAUCCCCCACACUGGUACUGAGACACGGACCAGACUCCUACGGGAGGCAGCAGUGAGGAAUAUUGGACAAUGGGCGCAAGCCUGAUCCAGCCAUGCCGCGUGCAGGAUGACGGUCCUAUGGAUUGUAAACUGCUUUUGUACGAGAAGAAACACUGCUUCGUGAAGCAGCUUGACGGUAUCGUAAGAAUAAGGAUCGGCUAGCUCCGUGCCAGCAGCCGCGGUAAUACGGAGGAUCCAAGCGUUAUCCGGAAUCAUUGGGUUUAAAGGGUCCGUAGGCGGUUUAGUAAGUCAGUGGUGAAAGCCCAUCGCUCAACGGUGGAACGGCCAUUGAUACUGCUGAACUUGAAUUAUUAGGAAGUAACUAGAAUAUGUAGUGUAGCGG
rnacentral:rRNA from 1 species